GACGAAGGAUGCAAGCGUUAUCCGGAUUCACUGGGGUUUAAAGGGUGCGUAGGAGGGCAGGUAAGUCAGUGGUGAAAUCUCCAAGCUUAACUUGGAACUGCCGUUGAUACUAUCUGUCUUGAAUGUUGUGGAGGUGAGCGGAAUAUGUCAUGUAGCGGAUGAAAUGCUUAGAUAUGACAUAGAACACCAAAUUGCGAAGGCAGCUCACUACACAAUUAUUGACUCUGAGGCACGAAAGCGUGGGGAUCAAACAGG
rnacentral:rRNA from 1 species